rnacentral:rRNA from 1 species
GAUGAACGCUGGCGGCGUGCCUAAUACAUGCAAGUCGAGCGAACGGACGAGAAGCUUGCUUUUCUGAUGUUAGCGGCGGACGGGUGAGUAACACGUGGAUAACCUACCUAUAAGACUGGGAUAACUUCGGGAAACCGGAGCUAAUACCGGAUAAUAUUUUGAACCGCAUGGUUCAAAAGUGAAAGACGGUCUUGCUGUCACUUAUAGAUGGAUCCGCGCUGCAUUAGCUAGUUGGUAAGGUAACGGCUUACCAAGGCAACGAUGCAUAGCCGACCUGAGAGGGUGAUCGGCCACACUGGAACUGAGACACGGUCCAGACUCCUACGGGAGGCAGCAGUAGGGAAUCUUCCGCAAUGGGCGAAAGCCUGACGGAGCAACGCCGCGUGAGUGAUGAAGGUCUUCGGAUCGUAAAACUCUGUUAUUAGGGAAGAACAUAUGUGUAAGUAACUGUGCACAUCUUGACGGUACCUAAUCAGAAAGCCACGGCUAACUACGUGCCAGCAGCCGCGGUAAUACGUAGGUGGCAAGCGUUAUCCGGAAUUAUUGGGCGUAAAGCGCGCGUAGGCGGUUUUUUAGUCUGAUGUGAAAGCCCACGGCUCAACCGUGGAGGGUCAUUGGAAACUGGAAAACUUGAGUGCAGAAGAUGAAAGUGGAAUUCCAUGUGUAGCGGCGAAAUGCGCAGAGAUGUGGAGGAACACCAGUGGCGAAGGCGACUUUCUGGUCUGUAACUGACGCUGAUGUGCGAAAGCGUGGGGAUCAAACAGGAUUAGAUACCCUGGUAGUCCACGCCGUAAACGAUGAGUGCUAAGUGUUAGGGGGUUUCCGCCCCUUAGUGCUGCAGCUAACGCAUUAAGCACUCCGCCUGGGGAGUACGACCGCAAGGUUGAAACUCAAAGGAAUUGACGGGGGCCCGCACAAGCGGUGGAGCAUGUGGUUUAAUUCGAAGCAACGCGAAGAACCUUACCAAAUCUUGACAUCCUUUGACAACUCUAGAGAUAGAGCCUUCCCCUUCGGGGGACAAAGUGACAGGUGGUGCAUGGUUGUCGUCAGCUCGUGUCGUGAGAUGUUGGGUUAAGUCCCGCAACGAGCGCAACCCUUAAGCUUAGUUGCCAUCAUUAAGUUGGGCACUCUAAGUUGACUGCCGGUGACAAACCGGAGGAAGGUGGGGAUGACGUCAAAUCAUCAUGCCCCUUAUGAUUUGGGCUACACACGUGCUACAAUGGACAAUACAAAGGGCAGCGAAACCGCGAGGUCAAGCAAAUCCCAUAAAGUUGUUCUCAGUUCGGAUUGUAGUCUGCAACUCGACUACAUGAAGCUGGAAUCGCUAGUAAUCGUAGAUCAGCAUGCUACGGUGAAUACGUUCCCGGGUCU